rnacentral:rRNA from 1 species
AGAUACCCUGGUAGUCCACGCCGUAAACGAUGUCGAUUUGGAGGUUGUGCCCUUGAGGCGUGGCUUCCGGAGCUAACGCGUUAAAUCGACCGCCUGGGGAGUACGGCCGCAAGGUUAAAACUCAAAUGAAUUGACGGGGGCCCGCACAAGCGGUGGAGCAUGUGGUUUAAUUCGAUGCAACGCGAAGAACCUUACCUGGUCUUGACAUCCACAGAACUUUCCAGAGAUGGAUUGGUGCCUUCGGGAACUGUGAGACAGGUGCUGCAUGGCUGUCGUCAGCUCGUGUUGUGAAAUGUUGGGUUAAGUCCCGCAACGAGCGCAACCCUUAUCCUUGUUGCCAGCGGUUAGGCCGGGAACUCAAAGGAGACUGCCAGUGAUAAACUGGAGGAAGGUGGGGAUGACGUCAAGUCAUCAUGCCCUUACGACCAGG